AUUGAACGCUGGCGGCAGGCCUAACACAUGCAAGUCGAGCGAGCGGCGGACGGGUGAGUAAUGUCUGGGAAACUGCCUGAUGGAGGGGGAUAACUACUGGAAACGGUAGCUAAUACCGCAUACCAUCAGAUGUGCCCAGAUGGGAUUAGCUAGUAGGUGGGGUAAGGGCUCACCUAGGCGACGAUCCCUAGCUGGGCUGAGAGGAUGACCAGCCACACUGGAACUGAGACACGGUCCAGACGCCUACGGGUGGUAGCAGUGGGGAAUAUUGCACAAUGGGCGCAAGCCUGAUGCACCCAUGCCGCGUGUAUGACGAAGGCCUUCGGGUUGUAAAGUACUUUCAGCGGGGAGGCGUUACCCGCAGAAGAAGCACCGGCUAACUCCGUGCCAGCCGCCGCGGUAAUAC
rnacentral:rRNA from 1 species